rnacentral:tRNA from 1 species
GAGGGUGUAGCUCAAUUGGUAGAGCACAUGCUUAGCAUGCAUGAGGUCCUGGGUUCAAUCCCCAGUACCUCCA